GAUCAUUCAUAUCUAAUAUCUUUUUAUAUAAAUUACAAUUAAUAGAAAUUUAAUGGAUGAUUUUUAAAGAUUCUGAAUAUAUAUCAUAAAAUAUCGGAAUUUAAUUUUGAAUAUUUUUUAAGCACAAAAUGAUCGAUCAAAAUUGUUUUCAACAACAUGAACUUUCACGCACAUAUUAAAGAUUACGCUUUCAUUAAUUGAUUAACGCCCAUAAUGCUAACAUACUAUGUAUCACGAUUUUAUCUAUCUAAUAGAUCUUAGAAAAUUCGAAAUAACCAGAAGUAAGUGUUCCAUGUCUGAUCAAAAUUCUUCACCGUGAUCGCGUCAGCUCGAGCAUAAGUAAUUGCACCUAAAGUGCCAUCUAGUGAUACACUCAAUUUGCAUUCAAAUAUUCAUACAAUUUUCAUGUAUAUUAAAAAAUCUUUAAAAUCUUUAAAAAUCUUAAAUGAAAUGAAAAUUGAAAGUUAUAUUUUAAUUAAAUUUUCUUCGUAACAAUUCUCUAAAAUAUGUCAUAAUAAAGAAUAACAUUUCAAAUAUUUAAAUUGAUAUAAUAAAUUUUAAAAGAAAUUGCUUAAAAAUUUUUUCUAUUCAUAUUUAAUGAAUGUGACAAUUAUAACAAUGUUGUUUACCAGUUAAAAAUUUCACGAUCUAGCAUCACAGAAUUAUUGUAAAGUAUUUUAGGUAUCUUAAUCGUGCUCUUUUAAAACAAAAAUACUGAUAUUUGCGAACAUUACAAUUCACUCCAUCAAAGAUCGAAGGAUACACUGAGAAGUUCAACAGUUUGUGGUAGAACAGCAAACAGUCGGGUGCAACGUUCGGGUAACAUCGGACAAGAUCGGGUACAACAAUGUAGUAGGCCCAAUAGGGCUUAAAGUUUCAAGCCCCCACUCCGUUAAUUUCGCUGCCCGCAGUUUUGCCCUCAGCACUGUUCAACCGCGCAAUCGCGAGCGUUCGUGAUCAAAAAGUCAUUCAACUUUGAAUUUCUAUUUUCUUUUCUAUUUUUUUAUACAAUUUUAUAAGUAUUUAUAACAAAUAAUAUAACAAAUAACGAAAACUCGACACUUAUUAUACUUUCACGGCUGUUCUCAUUCCCAUAAUUUUUUUCUUUGCCAAAGAAGAAGGAUAACUUCGUCUUUUAACCUCAAUUUCAAUAAUCAACUAAACAUGCGUAUAAUUUGAAUUUAUCACCAAUUUUACGAAUGUUCUCUAAGAAUUUAUUUUGUAUAAAAAGAAAGUCUCUAAGUUCUUUAAACUAUAUUUCUAUUUUAAUUUUUUUUUCAAAUUUUCAGAAUUUAAUUGCAAACGUUAGUCACGAUUGAUUUAACUCCAUCUAUAGUUGCAACGCUGUUAAAUAUUCGACAACGAUGUGCCAUACGCCACGUGCCCGCAACACGCUCUUGCAAUUAGGCCUAGGAAUCGCUAUUGUGCCGGAGCUUGACCCUCUCAAAUAGAAUCUCGACAAUGGGAAUUCGAGCAAUUUGCCAAGAGGAACUGGCCCAAUUGCGCCGCGAUCAUGAAAUUGAACAAACUUUGCCAAUGAGAUUCUCCAAAUUGACGUUCAGUUCCAUUUCGCUUUGUUAACGAACGUCCGUUUUAUUCCGUUUCGAUGUUGAAUCCUUGCGGACAAUCGAUCAUGCUCGAUGCUUACGAAUUAAUCAGAGGAGAGUUGUUUAAUAUGCAGCAAGCGUUUAAUGAAGUAAACAAGGAGCUAUAAAUGAUUGACUAUUUUAAUGUACAUAAGUUUGCUAAUAAAAUAAACAAGAUAAUAUGAAAAAUGGCCAGGAAGAUGAAUAUUAAAGAAAAAAUAUAAAAUUGAUCAAUAAACAACGAUUUGUUUAAUAAUGAUACAAUAUUGAAGCAUCGACAAAGAAGAGACUUAUCAAAAAACUAUUCGAAAAAGUUUGUUACUAAAUGAGAUAAAAAUUUAUUGAAAAAAAAUGCUUUAAAACUAUAAAUAUCGAAUCAUUAUAAUAAAAUAUCCUUUUCAAUUUUAUCUAAAUAAUUAUCUUCUAAUUUUUUUUUUAUAAAUUUAAAUAAUCUACAUACAAUUGAAUUGUAUACAUACAAUUUAUUAUCUGGCGUUUUCACCUCAGACUACUUUCAUUUAAUAAAAAUAAUCAUAUUUUUUAAAAAGUAUAUAAGAUUACAUUAAUAAUAUACUCUAUAUAUUGAUAUUUUAAGAAAAGUGAUGGAUGAAUCUUGGUGAAGAAAUUUCGUGUAGCAAAUCAAAUUUGUGAAAUUUUUCUUUGGAAAGAAAGAACAUUCACGAAACAAGCAAUUUAGUGGCAAGCAAUUUAUUCCGAUCUCCGUCCCUGGAGCAACAAGAAGCAGAGCAUGACAGCGCCACGAAGAAAGACUGGACACAGUUUGUUGGCAUCAGGUUAUAAAGAGUACGAAUCAUUACGAGAUUCGUCUUUUCCAGUGCGAAAUUCUUUGCGAGACGAUAAACAAUAUUAGAAACACGAUAUACAUGUGUUGAUUCUAUGACGAAAGAUUGUUUAGGAAUAGAAACUGCGUAUCCUCCAUAAAACAGUUUCACAUUUAAUCCGACCUGAAUAUUCGAGAAUUUCAAGAAGAAUUCAUGCUUCUUAGAACGAGAAGUAAGAGUAAACACGUCGAAUAACAUUCUCUCCGAUUUAUUAUUAACAUAAUUUUCAAAUAAAUAAUAAAAGCGUGACUUUUAUGCAAACAAAAUAUUGCAUUAAAAAAAAUUCUCCAUACAAAAAUUCUAAAUCCUUAAAAUACUUUAUAAUUUGAUAUAAAUUCAUUACGUAAUUAAUUACUUUCAUUCAUUACAUUACCAUAGUACGUGUCAUUAAAGAUUAAUUAAUAACUGAUUGUGAAACCAAUGAAAGACAUUAUUGAAUGGAACUCAACUCAUUCAGAUAAAUAUACAGCGAUAAGAAACAUAAAAAGAUUAAAGAACGUUUUAUAUUAUUGCAUUGUAAUAAACAAUUAUAUAUAUAUAUCUUAUAUAUAUCCUAAUUAAUAUUGAUAUUCGAGUAAAUCUAAUCGAAUUAAUAAGAACUUAACGUGCCCCGAUAAUUUUGCAUGGAUCUGUUCCAUCCACGACUCUAUAAUUAUUCGCUUCGAUUGUUCUAUUCGUGAUACGGAAAUUUUCUCCGUGUCACGGCAACGGAUCAACCAAAUUAAUGGAACAUAACUAAAAAUGCUUCUCCAAUUCAGAAAUCAUAAUUUUCUCUUGAUUCUCUUUUUAAUUUAUUUAAAAAGGUGAGAUAAUUGUAAUUGUAAUAUUUGUAAUUUAUAUUUAUAUAUAUAUAUUAAUAAAGUUCUUUGAACAUAUGGUAAA